GACGAACGCUGGCGGCGUGCCUAAUACAUGCAAGUUGAGCGCUGAAGGUUGGUACUUGUACCGACUGGAUGAGCAGCGAACGGGUGAGUAACGCGUGGGGAAUCUGCCUUUGAGCGGGGGACAACAUUUGGAAACGAAUGCUAAUACCGCAUAAAAACUUUAAACACAAGUUUUAAGUUUGAAAGAUGCAAUUGCAUCACUCAAAGAUGAUCCCGCGUUGUAUUAGCUAGUUGGUGAGGUAAAGGCUCACCAAGGCGAUGAUACAUAGCCGACCUGAGAGGGUGAGCGGCCACAUUGGGACUGAGACACGGCCCAAACGCCCACGGGAGGCAGCAGUAGGGAAUCUUCGGCAAUGGACGAAAGUCUGACCGAGCAACGCCGCGGGAGUGAAGAAGGUUUUCGGAUCGGAAAACUCUGUUGGUAGAGAAGAACGUUGGUGAGAGUGGAAAGCUCAUCAAGUGACGGUAACUACCCAGAAAGGGACGGCUAACUACGUG
rnacentral:rRNA from 1 species